ACGCUGGCGGCAGGCUUAACACAUGCAAGUCGAACGGUAGCAGGAGAAAGCUUGCUUUCUUGCUGACGAGUGGCGGACGGGUGAGUAAUGCUUGGGAAUCUGGCUUAUGGAGGGGGAUAACUACGGGAAACUGUAGCUAAUACCGCGUAGUGUCGAGAGACGAAAGUGCGGGACCGCAAGGCCGCAUGCCAUGAGAUGAGCCCAAGUGGGAUUAGGUAGUUGGUGGGGUAAAGGCCUACCAAGCCUGCGAUCUCUAGCUGGUCUGAGAGGAUGGCCAGCCACACUGGAACUGAGACACGGUCCAGACUCCUACGGGAGGCAGCAGUGGGGAAUAUUGCGCAAUGGGGGGAACCCUGACACAGCCAUGCCGCGUGAAUGAAGAAGGCCUUCGGGUUGUAAAGUUCUUUCGGUAUUGAGGAAGGAGUGUAUGUUAAUAGCAUACAUUAUUGACGUUAAAUACAGAAGAAGCACCGGCUAACUCCGUGCCAGCAGCCGCGGUAAUACGGAGGGUGCGAGCGUUAAUCGGAAUAACUGGGCGUAAAGGGCACGCAGGCGGUCAUUUAAGUGAGGUGUGAAAGCCCCGGGCUUAACCUGGGAAUUGCAUUUCAGACUGGGUAACUAGAGUACUUUAGGGAGGGGUAGAAUUCCACGUGUAGCGGUGAAAUGCGUAGAGAUGUGGAGGAAUACCGAAGGCGAAGGCAGCCCCUUGGGAAUGUACUGACGCUCAUGUGCGAAAGCGUGGGGAGCAAACAGGAUUAGAUACCCUGGUAGUCCACGCUGUAAACGCUGUCGAUUUGGGGAUUGGGCUUAAAGCUUGGUGCCCGUAGCUAACGUGAUAAAUCGACCGCCUGGGGAGUACGGCCGCAAGGUUAAAACUCAAAUGAAUUGACGGGGGCCCGCACAAGCGGUG
rnacentral:rRNA from 1 species